rnacentral:rRNA from 1 species
UACGGAGGGUGCAAGCGUUAAUCGGAAUUACUGGGCGUAAAGCGUGCGCAGGCGGUUUGUUAAGUCCGUUGUGAAAGCCCCGAGCUCAACUUGGGAAUUGCAGUGGAUACUGGCAGGCUGGAGUACGGUAGAGGAAGGUGGAAUUCCCGGUGUAGCAGUGAAAUGCGUAGAUAUCGGGAGGAACACCAGUGGCGAAGGCGGCCUGCUGGGCAGUUUAGCUGACACUGAGGCGCGACAGCGUGGGGAGCAAACAGG